GCCGGCUGGUGUGGGCGUGCGUGGGCGUGCGUGUGGCUCGAAUGAUUCAUAAGCCAGCACUGAAAAAUGCUUUGCUCCCUCACCCCAACAAUUUCCCAAGGCUACAGGGAUGAUUUGCCGGGUUCUCAAGAGUAUUUCUCGUGUAAAUAAUGUUGCAACAAGGGCCAUACUUUCCAUUAACAAAGGAAUAAGAUAGACUGCCAGAAGGGCGCUCAAUCAUCCAGUUUGCACUUGAUAACUGAUGCUGCUUCGUCAUAGCAACUUAACAACAAACUGGCAGAGCUGCAGUGCCCGUCCUGGCAGCAUCAGCACACAGGGCCGCUAGCAGUCCUCCUCCCGGUCUGACUUGUCCGAGAGAGUCACCUCCGCUAUGUCUGCCAUGGUUGGAGGCUGCAGGGAGGAGACAAUCUUGGCGGGCAUCUCCUGCACCACCGGGUUGGUGGUUUCGCACAGAUCCUCAAACUGCUGCUUCAGGAUGCGCGACGCCUCAUUGUACACCUGCAGGAAAGGCCACCAGCAAGUGAUGGUCCGUCUCACAUUACCUCGGUGAACACCAUGUCCAUGAAGAGUUCCUGGAUGAAGCGUCGCGCUGUCAGCCGGUAAUUGUAGGAGGCAAGGAUCUGACAGAUCUCAGCAUAGAGGCAGACGUCUUUGAAACCUCCAGGCCAACGCUGCUUCAGUGUGAGCAGUCCUGUCAGGCCACAGCGUGAUGAAGGAAGACUGAUGGUAACAACAAACUCAGGGACGCUCACCUGCCUCUGAAGACUUGGCAGCAAUGGAAGACAGCAGGUUGGUGAUGAAGCGCAGCACCUCCUUCCUGAAGAGCACCUGGUUCACACGAUCUGGCCCGUACUUCACCUCACCUGCAGACAACAAGGACAGUUAAAGUUUAGAAAUACAAUCAUGUCUUAACCCAUUCAGUACUGGGACACAUUUUUACCUUGAGUUUUGUGUACGAUUAGACCAUUUUACUGACAUUAGGAAUGAUCUAUGGAGAGUUAGGAAUGAUCUAUGGAGGAGAGAAGAUUGAUGGGCACAGUCUUCACUAUUUUAAUCACUACAUAAGUUUCUGAAGCUGUAUAAAAUCACCACAUAAUAGUAAGUAGAAUGAAUAUGAAAAUCCAUCUUAGAACUUAGAGAUUAAUAUAUUUCUAAUUAGUGAUUAUCCAUUCUCUAACCAUUUCAGAGUAUACUACCUUUAACCACAUACCCACUUCAUACUUCAAUUCAUCCAUUCCUUCAUUAUUUCUCUCCACAUACAUACUCAAGAGGUCUGUGUGUAUAAUCAAGCCAGAAAGGCACAGGACACACGAGUUCUGCUGAAGAGUUAUGUGUUUGUGUGUAAUGGAAUCAGUCACCUACUGUUCUCUGUAACCUACCCUCCCUUCCAUCCCGUGACAGCUAGCCCAGUGUUGGUAGCUAGACAUGUGUCCCGCCACCCCUCACCUGAGUCCUCCCACCCCUGGCUGUUGACGCUGGAUGGGUCAGAUGCUUCAGACGCCUCGCUGAUUGCUUUCACACGCUGCAGAGGUGGAGACACUACCACCACCUCUGCCUCGGGCGCCUCGCCAUCACCCUCGCCUGAAAGAUAAAUCAACAGUUUUAUUCUUUCACUGCUCAUGUUAGGAAAGCAAGAUGGACAAGAAAGGUAGUGUUAUUCUAGUUUAUGUAAGAAUCAGUUCCUUCUCAAAGACCAGGAUGCCAAGAUACCAAGACAUAAAAGGAAUAAGUGAAUUAAUAUAAAGAGACGUUAUCAAUCACAUCCCACUCCCUCCAUCUGUACUGCAUUUUGAUUAAUGUCCCAGCCACAGCCUCACCUGCUGCCUUUGGAGUAGGUGGGGGUGUGGGAGGAGUGAGUGUGUAGCAGGCCAGGCAGGUGUGAGGGCUGUGCAGCUCCAGGCCAUUCCCAUGAAUCAUCUUGGAGGUUUUAGCAUCAUCAGUUUUUUUCUUUGGGGUGCCAGCUGUGUGGGAAGGAUAAGUUUGUUACCUCUAGACCACAGGAUUGUCAGUAUAAAGCCUUGUCCUGUCACUCGUAAUGCAGCUUGCCUCGGUUUUCUUUUUCCUCUCCCUCUGUAACAGAUUCCUUACCUUUCUUUUUGUCUGGGUCUUCCUCAGACUGUGUUUCAAGUUCUGACUCAGUGAUGGCUGGAAACCUGUCCUUGCCAGGGGUGUUGGUGGCAGCCGUCUGUCCUGCCUCUCCCUGCCCAACGUUCUUGUCCAUGGAGGCAUCAUAGAGGAGGAGGUCCAGGUCCAGAGGCAGAGCAAAGCCAAUGUAGCACUGGCCUGCCUGGUGCUGUGUUGCUCCUAUCAGAUUGUAGCUGCCCAGGGCCCUGCUGCUGCUGCUCGGCCCCAGCCCAAUGCCCCGCACCCCAGAGCGCACAGAGGACACCUCACUGCAUCCUGAGGGCGACCGCACCAGCCCCUGCACAUCCAGCAGCAGGAACAACGGUCAACCACACAAUCUUACAACUGGCCGCCACCGUGUUCGUAGCUGGAGGAGAGGAAGCCCUUGAGGGAGUUCCUAGUGGGCUUCUCCUCGUGGCUAGACUCUGACACCACCCGGCGCUGGUUGGUGAUGGAGCGCAGGGUGAAGUAGCUCUGCGUGGACAGUGGCUGGCUGGUCACCACCCCUGAGCCAGGUAUUAGUAUUGGGGUGGUGCUGCCGCCUCGGUCACCGGCGUCCUCUGCAAACAGUGCCCCACUGGACCCCCUGAUGGAGCCACCCCGCCCCCCUCUCCUGAACUCUGAGCCCUCCGCCAUGGACUGGGAGCCGAGGGUGACUAGUGAGGUCCCGCUGGCAAUGGGGCUCAGACGGCACUCCCUGGAAAAAGGUCUCCAUUGGACGCCACCCUCAAGUCUAUGUGAGAAAUUCAAUCGGACAAAACAGCAGCAUAAAAAAGUUGAAGCAAAUUUCA